CAACUUUCAGCAACGGAUCUCUUGGCUCUCGCAUCGAUGAAGAACGCAGCGAAAUGCGAUAAGUAAUGUGAAUUGCAGAUUUCAGUGAAUCAUCGAAUCUUUGAACGCACCUUGCGCUCCUUGGUAUUCCGAGGAGCAUGCCUGUUUGAGUAUCAUGG
rnacentral:rRNA from 1 species